AACAUACAAAGCCCGAUACCAUCUAUCCC
rnacentral:piRNA from 1 species